rnacentral:rRNA from 1 species
AUGCAGCUCUAAGUGGGUGGUAAAUUCCAUCUAAAGCUAAAUAUUGGCGAGAGACCGAUAGCGAACAAGUACAGUGAUGGAAAGAUGAAAAGAACUUUGAAAAGAGAGUGAAAAAGUACGUGAAAUUGUUGAAAGGGAAGGGCUUGAGAUCAGACUUGGUAUUUUGUAUGUUACUCUCUCGGGGGUGGCCUCUACAGUUUACCGGGCCAGCAUCAGUUUGAGCGGUAGGAUAAGUGCAAAGAAAUGUGGCACUGCUUCGGUAGUGUGUUAUAGUCUUUGUCGAU